CACAAAUGGCGGAGCUGCCGAAGAAGCACGCGAGAACAUGUUGCUGCUAGACGAUGACAACCUCUGGUUCCUGCAGAGACAAAAGGAUAUAAAUGGAAGGCAAGUUUUCUACUCUUGUGUCGUCGAUCCUGUCGGUAGCAUAACAUCUACACUAUUACUAGUUGUUUAUUACUUACUUACUUGUUUAUAUAUAUUAGCUACAGCCAGUACUGGUGCUCUACAUGACUGUUGUUUUCGCAUUGUGAUUCGUUUUGGUAGGGUUGGUGUGAAGCCCCCGGCAAUAGAGGUGAGGUAUGAGAAACUUUGCGUGGAAGCAGAAAGCAGAUACUCCAGUGGUGCUACUCACCUGCCAACUCUGUGGAACAGCAUCAAGGCUGCUUACUCUGUAAGGCAAUAAAGACACUCAAACGAGUGUUACAUCUGAUGAUAUAUUGUAAGGAAAACAAAGGCUGGUGCAAAAGAUUAUUGACCAACAUAAUAUCCUUCUGCUUUAUAUCUUUGUGGAAAAUACCUUUUGAGACGAUGGUAGCUAGGAAUCAUCUGGCAGAAAUUAAAACUAAAAUCACAAAAGUUAUCCCUGAUUAUUAACUUCCAAAACCUCUGGUUAUGUAAAUGAAACACUUAGCCUAUCAUUGUGGUUACCAAAUUAAAGCUGCAACUAAUUUGUUCUGAAUAAGUAUUUCACAUUCCCUGACAACAUGUAUGCUUCCCAAAUUUAGAAGACAAUAAAAAGUGCUUUACUAGACUUUCUUGGUCCAUAGGGUUUCAUCAUGUUAUUUGGGCUGAAGUCUGACGAUAAAGUAAAGAUAAACAUCCUAGAAGAUGUGAGCGGAAUCAUCAGACCCUGCAGGUUUGUGAGCACCAAGAAUAGUUACACCUUUUUCCUUUCUGGAAAUUAAAGGAUAAUAAUAUCUAGAAUGCUUAUCAUAGUAGAUAUAUAUAACUUGUAAUCUGAAGUUAUCUCAAUAUCCUUGCAGAUUGACUCUUCUAUUAGGACCUCCUGGAUGUGGAAAAAGCACAUUGCUGCGAGCUCUUGCUGGCCAACUCGAUAAAUCUCUAAAGGUACAAAUUUGCUUAUCUACCGAAUCUAUCAGUUACUCAACAAUAUUUUUUUCUCAGAACAAAUCAAGCAACAGUACUUUCAGCCAUGACUUUUCAACCAAAUGAACAGAGCGACAUGUGAGGGGUACAAAAAGUGGUAUUGGUGCAAAGCGCAUGCCGACACCAAUAACUGUGUAUCCUAGUGCCGGUCCAAGGAUUUUAAGGAUCUUUUGACGAGCUCGUCACGACGGCCCCUCUAUACUAUAUAUAAAUCUUAUAUAAUAUACAUAAGUGCUAAUUUUUCUUGCAAAACGAAAACAAAUCCAGUAAUAUAUUUUUAAUUUAACAUGUUUGACAAUUAUCGAGCAACAAUGUAGACCAAAACUAAUAUUCUCUAUAGCAUCAUCAUUGACAUCAACUUGUUCACUUAAAUUAUCAUUAACUUGUUGCUGCUCUUGUUCUUCAAUAUCAAGUGCAUCUACGGGAUUAUCAUCAGACACAACACUGCUUAAGGCUGAAAAAAAACUUAUGUAUAGCACCUUUUUAAGAUUCAAUAAAUUGAUUUUCUAGUUUUUCCGGUUUCUGAGCCUCCAACAAAUAUUCCUUAGAUAACACUCUAAGAUUCUAACACCUAAAUUAGAAGAAAAACAUGAUUAUAUGAGUACCGAAGUUCAAAAUAAUUAGUUGGAUUAAAAAUGAUUAAGAAAAAAAAUACCUAGAGGCUAGGGCCUGAUCGAGUGAUCGGCGGGUGAUGAUUGAUGAAGCGAUGAUUGGCUGAUCCAGUCGAGUCGAGCCGGGCCUUGGAGUGCUCUGUCGGUGUUCCCUGAUCGCCCCCAUUGCCGUGCGCGGUGCUGAUCCGUUCCGUGUCUCCACGAGCGGCGAGUCGAGUCCGUGGCGGCUCCGUCCCUAAAUAGUGUCCAAAUAAGUCGUCAAUAUAAAUUCAUUUAUAUGGGUUGCUGGUGUUAU
rnacentral:lncRNA from 1 species